AUAAGUAGGCUAAUAUCAUAUAUAGUUAUUAAAUAAAAGAGAAAAUUUGAUAUCAUUAUAUUAAAAUACUAUAUUAUCUACUUAAACUAAUAAAAAAUAUUAUUUAAUAUACUUAUAUUACUAAAUCAAAAUAUUAUAAAUUUCCUAUAUAAAAUUUUUAAUUUAAGUUUCCUUGUUUUAACUAGAACCUGUCAUAUAGUUUUUUUAUCCUUAUAAAAGCUAUUAAGAAUGUAAGGGAGUUAUAUUUUCACAUGCAGCUAUACCUAUAACUGCAGCAGGUCUCUAAGGUAAACAGCCUCUAGUUAAUAAAAUAAUAUAGAUAAGGGAAGUUAGCAAAAUAGAUCAGUAACUUUAGGAAAAGGAUUGGCUCUGAGGGUUAGGUAUUAGGGGUACUUAGUGAAAAGGUAACUAAUAUAGCUGUUAGUAAUGAUAGCUUAAUUGGUUUAAUUAAAUCUGAGACUAUCCCUUUUACAAUUAAUAACCAACUUAGAACUAGUAUAGAUAAGGGGAAUCUGACUAUCUAAUUAAAACAUAGUAUUAUGAUGGUUAUAACUUAAUGUUGAUACAAUAUGAUUUCUGCCCAGUGCUCUAAAUGUUAAAGUGAAGAAAUUUAACUAAGCAUAGGUAAAUGGUAAGAGUAACUAUGACUCUUAUAAGGUAGCUAAAUGCCUUAUUAUCUAAUUAGUGAUAUACAUGAAUAAGUUAAUGAGAUUCCCACUAUCCCUAUCUACUAUUUAGCAAAAUUACAGCUAAGGGAAUAGGCUUAGAAAGGUUAGAGGGGAAAGAAGACCCUAUUAAGCUUAACUUUAGUUUAACACUGUAAAAAGACAUAGAGGGUGUAGUAUAAGUAGGAGAACUUGUUCAAACUUAAAAUACUACUACCUUCAUUAUUUUUUUACUUAUAGGAUUAAAUAAAGUUAGUUUUACUAUAUAUUAGUGUUAAAUAUCUUUAAAUAUAAUUUACAUUAUUGAUACUAUUAGGUGGGGAGUUUAGCUAGGGUGGCACAUUUGUUAAAUAAUAAUAUAAGUAUAAAUAAGAGUUUAUAAAGAGUAAAAAUCUAUAGAUAAUAAAAAGGAAGAGCAUUCUUAAUUUUAAUUUUUAGUUUUUUAAACUAAAAGUUCAAAUAUUAAUAUGUUUUUUCUUAUUUCAUUCUUUAAAUCAAGUUGUAUAAUUGGUUAGUCUAUAUUCUCUUGCAUAUUAAUAUAUAAUAAUUUGCAAAUUCUUUAAUCAUAACUGAUUAAUCUCU
rnacentral:ncRNA from 1 species